GAGCAAGAAAGAGCAAGGCAAGCAUGAGAUCUGCAGGGAGAAACCAUCACCAAGUCAACAUCUUCAUAAGAAGAGAACUGCUCAAGGCACAGUAGAGUCCUCAACAGUCAAGCAUCAGAGAGUCAUAGAGUGCUUAGGGUUGGAUGAACCUCUGCAGCCUGCCUGGUCCAGCUCCCUCCCACAUGGCCCAGGGCCAUGUUCACAUGGCUGUUGAAUAUAUCCAAGAAGGAGACUCCAUAAUCUCUGCAAGAAACCUGUGCUAAUGCUCAAUCAUCUACAUGGUCUGCAGCCCCAGCAGGUGCAGCAUCUUCUGCAGAUUAAUUAAGCACAAUGGCUGUUCCUUCGUGUGGGUGCCAGCAGCGCCAGGUGCAGGGCAGCCCUCCAGAACGUCUUUUUCAGAAUCCAGAAUAUGCAGCAAUUCCAGAGCAAGGAAUUCAGCAGAGCCAGUGCCAACCAGCAUUCAUACAGCACUGGGAGCUAGGGGGAAGUCAGAGGCAUCAAGUGAAGUAUCCAUGAGCAGAGCUGUUGGUGAAAACGUGGAGUUGUUUAAUUACCCCAGGGUCAGAUGCAGUCCCAGCUGCAGUGGAGGCCAGCAGCAGACCAGCGUGGGAGUGAAGAAUCAUGGAUUACAGUGCUGUAAUUAAGCACUGUGAUCACCCUGGGACUUGGGCUGAGCACCGCACAGGAUGAAGCGUGGCCUGGGCAAGGGCAGGCCUGGCGGUGGUUUUAAGGGUGACAGAGAUGAGAAACCUACAUUCAGCACGAUAAGCUAUUCUAAGAGGCAAUUAGCUAGCAGAUUAAUUAUCCUCACUAUUAAAACCCAUCUCAUUUCUAAUCUGUCUUUGCCCAGCUUCCAUUUCCAGCACUGGACCUCAUCUUAUCUCCAAGUGCCAGGUAGAAGGGCUGGCGAUGCCGAAGGACCGCUCCUGCCCCACGCUCCCCGUGCCACCAGGAGGUGUGGGGCCGUCCUGGCAGAGCACCAUCACUGCUCUGCCUGCAGCGCCCAGGACGGCACGCAGCACCAGGUUUGCGCUGCUGUGCGUCACUGGCAAUCCACAGCUCUUCUCUGAAUCCUCACCAAUUCCCUCUUGCUUUGCUUUUUAAAACACGGACUCCAGAGUAACAGUUGCCAAAGCUCGCAGUGUCUGGGCACCUUCCUCAGGCUGCCGUGUGUGGAAACAAGAAGCUGGUACAUAUUCCUGCUCUGUAUUCGAGGCAGUGGCAAGGGGUGAUAUUCAUAUUGCAGGGUGGUGGUGGUGCACCGCCUAUUCCAUCAGUGACUGAGGAAGAUGCUGAAAAGGAACUAAUUAACAAUCUUAGUGGGAGGAUAACUUGCAUCCAAGAGUUUUUAGUUUGCUAAUGAGUUCACUGGACCUUUUGUUUUUCUUUAUGACAAAUCAUGGCACCUUGGGGAACUUAAGAUAACUGAGGGAAGAAAUCUGAUGUCUGACUGGUAUUUAAUGUGGUCACAGAUAUCCAAGAAAAUAGAGAGCAGUUAGUUCAGCACAGACCCCAGCAGUCCCAGGUAAACAGCCAAGGGAUGCUCGGGUGAAUCAGUGAAAGCCAGAGCCCCAAAUAACAGCAUUCAUUCUUUCCAAGUGAAAGAGUUACUUAUAAACAUUUGGGGCUUUUGUUCAUUUGUUGAUCUCUUUUUUUCUUUCUUUGUAAGCCUAUAAGCACUCAAUAGAGCUGAGUACAUACAGAUGACAUG